rnacentral:rRNA from 1 species
UACAGAGGGGGCAAGCGUUGUUCGGAAUUACUGGGCGUAAAGGGCGCGUAGGCGGCCUGCUAAGUCGAACGUGAAAUCCCCGAGCUCAACUCGGGAACUGCGUCCGAUACUGGCAGGCUUGAAUCCGGGAGAGGGAUGCGGAAUUCCAGGUGUAGCGGUGAAAUGCGUAGAUAUAGGAAGGAAUACCAGUGGCGAAGGCGGCCUCCUGGAUCGAUACUGACGCUGAGGCGCGAAAGCGUGGGGAGCAAACAGG